CAAGUUGAUCAGGCAGGAAACUUGAGUAUUGCCAAUGAAUCAACUGAGGCUUAAGAAGUAGAACCACUCUGAUGCAAAUAAAGGCAAGUAUGAGUUUCAAAGGAAGGAGUCUUUGAUCUGGGAAUUAAGGAGGAACCAGUACUUGGAAUAAUAAAAGGAAAGGGCAUUGUAAGGUGGAGGAAAUAACAUCAGGAGUGUCAUGGGGUGAGAAUGAGCAGCCUGUGUGGAGGGGAUGACAAAAUCCCACAGGGAAGCCAGGUAGGUGGGAGAGGAGGGCAAGCACAAGGAAAAGCAGACCAGGGCUUAAAAAUUGGAAAAAUAGAUGGGGCUUGAAUGAAAAGGGAGUGCAGGAUCUAAUCUUUUGUCCUAAUGUUUUUUUUCCAUAAGGUAAUUCUGGUGGCAGUGUCAAAGUACUGGAUUUGAAAGAUGAGAGACAAAAGGAGACCAAUUAAGCUUUCAGAGUCACUGGGAUUACAGAUGUGUGCCACCACACCAAGCCACUCUUUUUAAAGCUGCAUUGCAGAAGAAGGAGACGGAGAAGGAGAAGGAGAAGAAGAAGAAAGAAGAACAGAGGAGGAGGAGGAGGAGGAGGAAGAGGAGGAGGAGCCACCGCCACCUAGAUUGAAGUCAUUUUCAAACUGAGAUCUCUGAUAAGGGAGCCAAGUGAGGCUCAGAGGAGUUCAGCCUGCUGCUUGACCCCAGGUCCAGGCCUACUAGCAAUGGUGCAGUGAGAGUGCCACCAUCGUGGGGUUAGACCCUGAGGGAGUGCCAAGAUAGGAAACCAACAAGGUGUGAAUAUCGUCCUUCAAAAAAUCUUUCUUUUGGCUCAUCAGUAGGCUGAACAAGGAAUCUAUUUAUGCUAAAUGGUGGAUAACUUCCUUGUCCUCACAAAUUAUUUCGAUGACAGAGCUAGGUAUCUGUUCAGUGCAUUUCUGUCCUGAAAGUCUACAGUUGUACAGUCUGGAUUUCAAACCUCCUCUUAUUCAGUCAGAAUUACUUCAGGUUACUCAGUGAUACUAUUUCCUGUUUGCUAAAUAUUUUGGAAUAAUGUUCAUUUCCAUAAAGAAAUCUAUUAUUGAUAAGAUAAAUUUCACUUGAGGGGUGGGAAUUAAGCUCACUGGCAGAGCGCUUGUCUAGCAUGCAAGGCCCUGAAUUUGGUCCUCAGCCCUGGGGGAGGGGUGGGGGGGGGAGAUAAUUUGCACUUGAAAAAAAUAUCCUACUUUCUUGAGAGGAAAGAGUGAGAAGCUGAGAGCCACUACCUUGCAAAAGCUCUGAAGUGUCAAAAGGAUCAUACAAGUUAAGACAAGGGAAUGGAACACAUAUUUGUUAAGUAUUAAACACACAAAAUUAAGAUUGGCAAAAUAAUUGGUUAUCUUCUGUGAAAUGCAUUCUAAGAGAAGAGUGAAAAAAACUAUUUUUCAGUAGUUUUUCUGUUAGUAUCAAUAUUUGCAUUAGUAUUUGUUAUUUUUUUGUAUUAUCCAGGUAAAAAAAAUAAA